rnacentral:rRNA from 1 species
UGGCGGCGCGCUUAAACAUGCAAGUCGCACGAGAAAGUGGAGCAAUCCAUGAGUAAAGUGGCGUACGGGUGAGUAACACGUGGAUCAUCUACCUUUUAGUGAGGAAUAACCCUGGGAAACCGGGGCUAAUACCGCAUAAUCUCGCGAGAGGAAAGCAGCAAUGCGCUGAAAGAGGAGUCCGCGGCUGAUUAGCUAGUUGGUGAGGUAACGGCCCACCAAGGCGAAGACCGGUAGCCGGCCUGAGAGGGCACACGGCCACACUGGCACUGAAACACGGGCCAGACUCCUACGGGAGGCAGCAGUGGGGAAUCUUGCACAAUGGAGGAAACUCUGAUGCAGCGACGCCGCGUGAGCGAUGAAGCCCUUCGGGGUGUAAAGCUCUUUCGACGGGAACGAUAAUGACGGUACCCGAAGAAGAAGCUGCGGCUAACUACGUGCCAGCAGCCGCGGUAAUACGUAGGCAGCAAGCGUUGUUCGGAAUUACUGGGCGUAAAGAGUACGUAGGCGGUGCUCUAAGUUUGGUGUGAAAUCUCCCGGCUCAACUGG